UACGUAGGGGGCGAGCGUUAUCCGGAUUCAUUGGGCGUAAAGAGCGCGUAGGCGGCUUGUUAAGCGAGAUGUGAAAACCGGGGGCUUAACCCGCGGCCUGCAUCUCGAACUGGCAGGCUUGAGUCUGGUAGAGGAGUGUGGAAUUCCCAGUGUAGCGGUGAAAUGCGCAGAUAUUGGGAGGAACACCAGUGGCGAAGGCGGCACUCUGGGCCACGACUGACGCUGAGGCGCGAAAGCUAGGGGAGCGAACAGG
rnacentral:rRNA from 1 species